AAGAGGGCCCCCUAUACUUUUUGCGUGAAGCGUGAAGGGCUUAUUUUACUUAGCCGUGAAACGUGAUCGGGCCCCCUAUACGUUUUGCGUGAAGCGUGAAGGGCUUAUUUUACUUAGCCGUGAAACGUGAUCGAUGAUUUUCUUAAUCCGUGACUCGUGAAAAGGCAAAAUAUUUUUACGUGAAAGCAUAUUGUGAAGAGGUAUAGGGGGCCCUCUCGGAAGUGUAAAGAUUGUCC
rnacentral:lncRNA from 1 species